ensembl:lncRNA
GGAUGAGGUAGGAUGGAGUGGGAGGUGAAGGAAGGUGUUCUUAUAGGUGUCCAGUCUCAGGCACGUUGAUGUUGACGUCCUGGAUGGUCUGCUUUUUCUUCUCUCUCCUAUUUCUUUAUCUCCUUGUCCUGCAUCUUAUGCCUCAUUUUGUCCAUCUCCGUCUGCCGGCCUUUUUUUUUUUUUUAAGCACAGGCAGAUGUUUUUAAGGACUGUUUUGUUGUCCUCUAAUUCUUGGAUCCUGCUGAUAAGGAUCUGUUGUUCUUUGGGGAUGGUAUCCUCCGUUUGUUGGAUCUUAGCGAUCAGGCACAACGCAGUGAAACCACUGCUUGUGACCAUCUCGUGGUGGGUAACCUCUUGGCAGGUUGUAAAAAAAAAAUGAAAUGAAAUGUGUGCAAUAUAAAUUAACAGUACAGUUAAUUAAAGCCGACCAAUUAAAAAAUAAAAAAUAACAAAACAAUAUUUAAAUAAAUGUACAUGAAAUAAAAAUAAGGCAGAAAUCAGGUAAGGGAAAUGUGCAAACCUGAUUAGGUUGUAAAAAAAAUAAGCAGCCAGAGAAUCCCUCUGGGAUCUUUUUUUUUUUUUAGAUCUUUCUUUUUUAGAUCUCUUUUUUUCAGAUCUCUUUUUUUUUUUUUAGAUCUUUUUUUAGUUUUUUUCAGGGUAGAUGGAUGAGGUAGGAUGGAGUGGGAGGUGAAGGAAGGUGUUCUUACAGGUGUCCAGCCUCAGGCACGUUGAUGUUGACGUCCUGGAUGGUCUGCUUUUUCUUCUCUCUCCUAUUUCUUUAUCUCCUUGUCCUGCAGCUUAUGCCUCAUUUUUGUCCAUCUCUGUCUGCCGGUCUUUUUUUUUUUUUUUUAAGUACAGGCAGAUGUUUUCAAGGACCGUUUUGUUGUCCUCUAAUUCUUGGAUCCUGGUGAUAAGGAUCUGUUGUUCUUUGGGGAUGGUAUUUUUUUUUUAUUUUUUUUUUUUAGAUCUUUCUUAUUUAGAUCUCUUUUUUUUCAGAUCUCUUUUUUUUUUUUGGAUCUUUUUUUAGUUUUUUUCAGGGUAGAUGGAUGAGGUAGGAUGGAGUGGGAGGUGAAGGAAGGUGUUCUUACAGGUGUCCAGUCUCAGGCACGUUGAUGUUGACGUCCUGGAUGGUCUGCUUUUUCUUCUCUCUCCUAUUUCUUUAUCUCCUUGUCCUGCAGCUUAUGCCUCAUUUUUGUCCAUCUCCGUCUGCCGGUCUUUUUUUUUUUUUUAAGUACUGGCAGAUGUUUUCAAGGACUGUUUUGUUGUCCUCUAAUUCUUGGAUCCUGCUGAUAAGGAUCUGUUGUUCUUUGGGGAUGGUAUCCUCCGUUUGUUGGAUCUUAGCGAUCAGGCACAACGCAGUGAAACCACUGCUUGUGACCAUCUCGUGGUGGGUAACCUCUUGGCAGGUUGUAAAAAAAAAAUGAAAUGAAAUGUGUGCAAUAUAAAUUAACAGUACAGUUAAUUAAAGCCGACCAAUUAAAAAAUAAAAAAUAACAAAACAAUAAUUAAAUAAAUGUACAUGAAAUAAAAAUAAUGCAGAAAUGAGGUAAGUGAAAUGUGCAAACCUGAUUAGGUUGUAAAAAAAAUAAGCAGCCAGAGAAUCCCUCUGGGAUCUUUUUUUUCUUUAGAUCUUUCUUUUUUAGAUCUCUUUUUUUCAGAUCUCUUUUUUUUUUUUUUAGAUCUUUUUUUAGUUUUUUCAGGGUAGAUGGAUGAGGUAGGAUGG